GAUGAAGAACGUAGCGAAAUGCGAUACUUGGUGUGAAUUGCAGAAUCCCGUGAACCAUCGAGUCUUUGAACGCAAGUUGCGCCCGAAGCCACUAGGCCGAGGGCACGCCUGCCUGGGCGUCACACGUCGUUGCCCCCCCAUCUACUCCUUCGGGAUUGCGGGGGGGCGGAUGAUGGCCUCCCGUGCGCCUAGCCGCGCGGUUGGCAUAAAUACCAAGUCCUCGGCGACGCACGCCACGACAAUCGGUGGUUGCGAAACCUCGGUUGCCCGUCGUGUGCGUUCGUCGCGCAUCGAGGGCUCGAAAAAAUGCUCGGCUCCGGCUGGGCUUUCAACGCGACCCCAGGUCAGGCGGGGUUACCCGCUGAAUUUAAGCAUAUCAAUAAGCGGGGA
rnacentral:misc_RNA from 1 species